GAAAAGAGUAAUUGAAAGUUUACUCAUGUAACAAUGAACGUAUCCAAUGCAUAUGUGAAUUCUGCAACUUAUACUCGAAAAAAUUCCAAAUAACAAUUCACCCAGUUGGCUCUCAAAGUAACUAACCAACCUGAAACAGAAUAAAGAAAAGGUAGGAUUGGAGUGUAUGAACUGAGACAGUUGUUACUGCACCAUUUCGUUCAGAUGCUGUGGUUCUUAUGUUUGCAAUUCCCAAAUCAAGCUAAAUCAUUACUCGAUAGACACUUGACUACAAACCUUCGUAACGGAUUCUAACUGCUUGAGAACAUUGCGGCCUGCACUUUCUCCGCAGGCAACUUGCUCCAAUACACACAUCAGAUGCUCACACAAAAAAAGUUCAAUUCUUAUUAGGAGAACUAUGUAUGAUGCAUCAUAAAACAGCACUAAGUGCAUUACUAUAGUCCUUAUAUUACCAGGAAAAUAAAUUGGCACAGAAAAGUAUCAGUAGCUCAUUAACAUUGUUCCUCUGGCGCACGAAGUUGCAAACUUUGAGCUACACUUCUUGUCUAGUGUUCUAUAUUCUUUUAGAACUAUUCACCUACCGACUGCAAAAUGCAUUAAAAAGGCUCAAGGACUACUAGUGUUAAAUUAAAGCAUUCUAAGCAAAGUUCCAUUCAAGUUCCCUUCUUACGUUGGGCCCCAGCAAACACUGGCAGCCCUAAGGAAUAUUCAAGUACAGUAAAGACAUCAUACAACUUGCAAAGUUUGCCCAAAAUUUUAACCUCAAGGUGGAUAAUUUAAACAGCAUCCACGAACAAUAACAUAUAAUUACGGUGUUUUGGGCAAAACCUACAUAUAGAAGGCCAUGUAAAGAAAAAGAAAAUGCUGAUCAACAUAGGUUCUAACCGGUGUUCUGCAUUCCGGCAGCAAUACCUUUCAUGGUCAAAAUGAGGGUGUCCUCCAAACCAGGUGCAUACUCACUUGUAGGAUUUAGUUUCACAAGUUCAUCAGCUGGUUUGCUUGAUUCCAUAAUUUCCUUGGAGAUGUGUGGCCGCACAGUCACAUUGUAAUUUGGAUCUCUGAUCCGUUUCAGCGUAUAUGCCUGGCAAACAUUGAGGGUUGUGAUGUAUGAAUCUCGCAACCGUAGUCUUUGUUUCAAGUAUGGGUCUCCUUCAAGAAGAUCCUUGUGUCCAGCAAUCUGAAGUAGAAGGCGCUUGGUUUCCUCAUAGUUGGUCCUUAACUUCUCACCAAAUGCCCACAGCUCCUCAGAAACAAGGAGUUUGUCAUUCAAGGCAGCUAUCCCAGGGUCCCCCUUGGCAAACACCAUUUCAACCAAAUCAAUGGUGACCCUAAAGAAAGGCCAUUCAUUAUACAUCUCUUGCAGCAUAUGGAGAUUCUUAAUGUCCUUUUGAAUGACCUGUUUAAAUGCUGCUCCAAAGCCUAGCCAUACUGGAAGAUGGAAUCUAGUUUGCGUCCACGCAAAGAUCCAUGGAAUUGCACGGAGAGAUUCAAUACCCCCACUUGGCUUUCGCUUUGAUGGACGGCUUCCAAUGUUCAUCCUACCAUACUCCAACUCUGGUGUGGCAAGGCGGAAAUAUUCAACAAAUCGAGGUUCUUUGAAGACAAUAGAGCGGUAUUCCUCUGUCGCAACAACAGCCAUUUCGUCCAUCAGCUCACGCCAUUCAGGUUUUGGGAAGACUGGGGGAUGCAUACCAUGCUCUAGAGUGGCAGCUGUGAAACGUUGCAGUGUUCUAAAGCACAAGUGCUCCUCUCCAAAUGAUUGCUCAAUAACUUCACCUUGAACAGUAACACGGAGUGAUCCAUGAAUUGUGUCUGGUGGCUGAGACAAUAUAGCAAGAUGAGUGGGACCACCUCCUCUUCCAACAGUCCCACCACGACCAUGGAACAUUGUGAGCUUCACACCGAAUUGCUUAGCUACCUUUAUAAGUUCCUCUUGAGCCUUAUAUAACUGCCAGGCUGCAGAGAGUCUUCCAGCAUCUUUACCAGAAUCUGAGUAACCAAUCAUGACUUCUUGCUUUCCAUUGAUGCGGUUUCUGUACCACUCUACUGAAAAGAGCCGAGCCAAAGCAGCAGGAGCAGCCUCCAGAUCUGCAAGCUUCUCAAACAGAGGAACCACUCUCAAUGGCUGCUUCACAUGACAUUCACGUUGCAGGAGCUCAACAGCAAGCACAUCAGACGGAGCAGUUGCCAUAGAAAUGAUGUAUGCUCCAAAGUUAUCUGCAGGGAGUUCUGCUAAAACAUGUAAAGUGUCCAACACAUCAGCAAUUUCCUCAGUUUUUGGAAGAUCAGGACCAAACAGUGGGCGCUUUCCACUGAGUUCAGAUAAAAGCCACUCCUGUCGGCGUUCUUCAGACCAUUCCCGAUAGGAACCAAUUUCCAAGUGCUUGGUGAUGGCAUCUAUGACAUCAGUGUGACGGUCUGAUUCUUGCCUAAUGUCAAGCCUCACUAGUGAAAGUCCAAAGGUGGAAACUUGCCUCAAGAAAUCAAGGAGGCUUCCAUCAGCAAUUGACCGGUCACCACAAGAGCAAAGCGAUCUAUAACACAGUUCAAGAGGUUCCAAGAACUGCUCAACAUUAGUGAAAGUUGCCUCCUCUGGGAUGUCUGAGAUCCCAUGGGAUAAUAAUUGACGGGAGCGUUCACGGGUCUGGUACAGCUUAUCCCUUAGGUCACCAAGAAUCACACGAUAGGGUUCACUUGGAGGGACUUGUUUCCAAAACUCUAUGUAGUGUUUUGCAUCUCUCUUUGAGGAUCUGUGAAGUUCAUCAGCUUGAACACGAAGUUCAUCACUGCAACGCCACAUGGACAACUCAAACAUAAGAUCUUCAAUUUGGGAAUAGUAUAGGUUAGCUGCCAUCAUUCUAGCCAAUAAGCAAACAUCCCUUGUGACCUCAGGAUUAACCCUUGGAUUACCAUCACGAUCACCACCCAUCCAAGAAGAAAAUUGAAUAAGUGGAGCAUUGUAAGGAACUCUUUCAUCAAUCCCUAUGUUUUUCAAAGCAGUGUCAACACGACGUAAAAACUUUGGGACACCCUUCCAGAUUGUCUCAUGGAAAUAACUCAUUCCUGCUCUCAUCUCAUCUUGGGGAGUUGGAGGGGUCCUUCGAAUCUCAUCUGUCCGAAAUGCAGCUUGAAUCUCACGCUGUAAAGCCUCAUCAAGCUCCUGCUUGUCAUCUGGAGUAAUGUCUUUGGCAUACAGUUGUGCCAAACAAUUACGUAUCCUUGCGUGCUUUUGAAGCAAAGAUCUACGGACUGAUUGAGUAGGAUGCGCAGUCAAGACAAGAUCUACAGUCUGAUUCUUCAGUGCAUCAAAAACUUCUUCAGGAGACUUCUUCAGAUCAACAACAAGCCUCUUGAGAGUUUCUUCAAUGUCUGAUUCAGUGGUUGCAGAGUUCUCAUCAGCAAAAUCUCCCUUUUUUAACUUGUUCCGUCGCCUAUAUGCAAUUUGAACCUCUUCGGCUAAGUUAGCCAAGUUAAGCAUGUGUGAGAAAGACUUGGCAAUAACAAUUGAAUCCCCAGGAUCCAAACUGGUCAAGACCUUUCCAAGCUCCUCAAGUUUCCGGCAAUCAUGCUUCCCUUCAUACUCGGCAGAAAGCUCAUAGCAUUCUUGAACCGUUUCCUUGAGAUCCUCUCCAUGCAAAUCUUGAAGAAUAUCAAGGAACCGAUCCAAAAGCAGAGCAUCAUACUCCACCAAUUUGUCAUCUUCACUCACUUUUGCAGGAACCAAAAGCCUAAGCUGUGCAUCAAUCGAUGCCAGCUUCUCAAGAUUCCGAGUUUGCAUUGCUCAGCACCUUUUAGCUUCUCUCUGAAUCUGGACAAGUGAGAUUUGAUAGUGCAGCGAAGUGGAGAGAAGGACAGAGAGAGGGAGGAUGAGGUUGGGAUGGGAAAGAGGAGCUUACACUAUAAAUAGACGAGGAGAAGCUGAAUUUAAUACAGAAGGAAGACAAUCUCUCCACUUUACAAGCUUCACAAUGUAUGUGUUU
rnacentral:misc_RNA from 1 species